rnacentral:rRNA from 1 species
GACGAACGCUGGCGGCGUGCUUAACACAUGCAAGUCGAGCGGAAAGGCUCCUUCGGGGGUACUCGAGCGGCGAACGGGUGAGUAACACGUGAGUAAUCUGCCCUUGGCUUUGGGAUAAGCCCCGGAAACGGGUCUAAUACCGGAUACGACGCACUCUCGCAUGGGAUGUGUGUGGAAAGUUUUUUCGGCCAGGGAUGUGCUCGCGGCCUAUCAGCUUGUUGGUGGGGCAAUGGCCUACCAAGGCUUCGACGGGUAGCCGGCCUGAGAGGGUGACCGGCCACACUGGGACUGAGACACGGCCCAGACUCCUACGGGAGGCAGCAGUGGUGAAUAUUGGACAAUGGGCGGAAGCCUGAUCCAGCAACGCCGCGUGAGGGAUGACGGCCUUCGG